rnacentral:rRNA from 1 species
CCCGACUCCUACGGGAGGCAGCAGUGGGGAAUAUUGCACACUGGGGGAAACCCUGCUGCAGCGACGCCGCUUGAGCGAUUACGUCUUUCGGUAUGUCCCGCUCUAUCCGCCUUUAAGAAGAUGCCGGUACCUGACUCCUUCUCCCCGGCUCCCUCCGUGCCAGCCGCCUCGGUAAUACUUCUUGGGCGAGCUUUCUCCGGAUUCAUUGGGCUUAAAGCGCGCGUAGGCGGCCGCCUAAGCGGGACCUCUAACCCCGGGGCUCAACCCCGGGCCGGGUCCCGGACUGGGCGGCUCGAGUGCGGUAGAGGAGAGCGGAAUUCCCGGUGUAGCGGUGGAAUGCGCAGAGAGCGGGAAGAACACCGAUGGCGAAGGCAGCGCUCUGGGCCGUCACUGACGCUGAGGCGCGAAAGCUGGGGGAGCGAACAGGAUUAGAUACCCCUGUA